rnacentral:sRNA from 1 species
GUGUACCACGCGAACACGCCGGUUGCGGGGCGCCGUCCACGCCCACCCGACGACCGCGCGCUACGUUGUGCUGAUC